rnacentral:rRNA from 1 species
GACGUAGGGCGCGAGCGUUUGUCCGGAAUUAUUGGGCGUAAAGGGCUCGUAGGCGGUUUGUCGCGUCGGGAGUGAAAACCCAGGGCUUAACCCUGGGCUGGCUUCCGAUACGGGCAGACUAGAGGUAUGCAGGGGAGAACGGAAUUCCUGGUGUAGCGGUGAAAUGCGCAGAUAUCAGGAGGAACACCGAUGGCGAAGGCAGGUCUCUGGGCAUUAACUGACGCUGAGGAGCGAAAGCAUGGGGAGCGAACAGG